GACGAACGCUGGCGGCGUGCUUAACACAUGCAAGUCGAACGAUGAACUUGGAGCUUGCUCUGGGGGAUUAGUGGCGAACGGGUGAGUAACACGUGAGUAACCUGCCCUGGACUCUGGGAUAACUUCGAGAAAUCGGAGCUAAUACCGGAUAGGACCUUGCACCGCAUGGUGUGGGUGGAAAGUUUUUCGGUUUGGGAUGGACUCGCGGCCUAUCAGCUUGUUGGUGAGGUAAUGGCUCACCAAGGCGUCGCCGGGUAGCCGGCCUGAGAGGGUGACCGGCCACACUGGCACUGAGACACGGCCCAGACUCCUACGGGAGGCAGCAGUGGUGAAUAUUGCACAAUGGGCGCAAGCCUGAUGCAGCAACGCCGCGUGCGGGAUGACGGCCUUCGGGUUGUAAACCGCUUUUAGUAGGGAAGAAGCCUUCGGGUGACGGUACCUGCAGAAAAAGGACCGGCUAACUACGUGCCAGCCGCCGCUGUAACAC
rnacentral:rRNA from 1 species